UCAGUAGGCUGCAGACAGUGGAGGUGAACUGAUCUACACCCUGAGAGCCUGGGAAGAAGAGCACUGCAGGAGCACACAGGGAAGAGACUGGUGAUUUUCAGAAGGCCUGAAACUUUAUCUUUGAUUCCAGCAUCCCUGAUCACAGGACCAGAGGGACCAUCAACAGAGGGGCACCAGGAAAGAAGAGAACCUGCCACAGUAUGCUCGGCCACUGGGCGAUGCUUGCCAUCUCAGGAUUUUGGGAAAUGCUGCUGAGAUGGCAUAUGGACAGCCAUGCCAACUCCCAAAAAAGUGAAUCCUUUGUAUGUCCAGGUCUCUCAGUG